rnacentral:rRNA from 1 species
GACGAACGCUGGCGGCGUGCUUAACACAUGCAAGUCGAACGGAAAGGCCCCUUUGGGGGUACUCGAGUGGCGAACGGGUGAGUAACACGUGAGUAACCUGCCCUUGACUUCGGGAUAACUUCAGGAAACUGGGGCUAAUACCGGAUAGGAAUCCUUGCUGCAUGGUGGGGGUUGGAAAGCUUCGGCGGUUUUGGCUGGACUCGCGGCUUAUCAGCUUGUUGGUGGGGUAGUGGCUUACCAAGGCUUUGACGGGUAGCCGGCCUGAGAGGGCGACCGGCCACAUUGGGACUGAGAUACGGCCCAGACUCCUACGGGAGGCAGCAGUGGGGAAUAUUGCACAAUGGGCGGAAGCCUGAUGCAGCAACGCCGCGUGCGGGAUGACGGCCUUCGGGUUGUAAACCGCUUUCAGCAGGGGCGAAGCUUGUGGUGACGGUACCUGCAGAAGAAGCACCGGCUAACUACGUG